UGUACCCUAGCGCACGUGCAUCCGACAUCUACCUGGGGGAGAACACGUGCAUGGGCGUGGAAUCUUGGAAUCACGUGGUGUUUCAGCAGGGUCUCCGAGAAUGCCUCACGAGUGAAACGGUAAGGCUACUCGAACCAAAUCGUAUACGCAGAGAGAGACCCCGUUCACUCGUUUAUCAUUCGCCAUUACAACUGGACGGUCGGUGUAGAGUGUGACGUACAGAGGAACGAGAGCUCUUCCGGUCAUAUAGAGCACGAAAACAACAACCAUCAAGUUGUCCCGCUGGUGUCUGGCGCAAGACACUAUACGGUGAAAAUGACGUUCUACCUGGACCCGAACUUCCAGCAGCCGGUCCCCAGCAAUCCUCUGCGCGUGUCUGUGGGCACGGUCGUAUAUGUGAAGUUUUUCACCCAGGCCACUGACUCGACGGUGAAGAUGCGCGUUCAUACGUGCCCUCGCCGACGUCACCGGACCAUCUGCGA